rnacentral:lncRNA from 1 species
GGGAGAGAUUAAAUGUCCAGCAAACGACGGCAAUGUUGCCAGAUUCCUUUUAGCGGGAAUUUUAAAAUUUUAUAGCAGUUUGGUUUUAAAUUUGACAGUUCUGUUUUCUCAAGUCAAAAAUCUUAACCUUACUUUUACAAGUGAUUAAGAUUAUUUUAUUUACAUGUAAAUUGAAACAAUAAAUAUUGUGCUUUGUCAUAAUUUAAAACUCAUUAUGUUGAAGUCUUUUCCAGUUGAUAAAAUUGCAAUUCAAAAACUUUUAGAUUUGUACUGUAUGGAUGGCACAGGAAGAGAACAGAGAACAAGAGUACAAGAACAUGAAACAUCUUAUUAUGAAUGUAUAUGUAUGUGAUCCUCAAAAAAUUAUUUUUCAAAACAAGAUAGAGAAUGAGCUUUAAAAUCCCAAGGAUCCUGCAAAAUGUCUAUUUGGUGUACUAGUCGAAUAAUAGUACCUAUCUAAAAAUAAUGAAACUGUUUUAAAACACAUUAUGGGCAUGAGGAUGAUAUAGAGCACUUACAUAAAUACCAAAAUCAGAUAAAUAUCUCUUCAAAGUUUAUUUUGAGACUUUCUUCAAAAAUUAAACUUCAGACUGUCCAGGAUAGCAUAAUAGCAUAGGAGGCAAAUUAAGAAGAAUUAAUUUACUUACAAGAAGAGAUAUCACAAACAUUAAACUCUCUUAUGGCAUUGAUUUGAAAGAUGGGUAUAUGUACAAUGAUGAUGCAACCAGUGUUUAUUUUUGGGUUGAAUGCUUACAGAUUAUUUAUUUUUUCCAAUAUUAUUUUACAAACAACAGGGCAUACUAAUGGAUAUUCAUUCUGAAUUUAACAUUUA